rnacentral:rRNA from 1 species
GCCUACAGCUUGCUACCCCAAACAAACUCAAUCCCGUAUGAUCUCAGAAGCUAAGCAGAGUCAGGCCUGGUUAGUACUUGGAUGGGAGACCACCUAGGAAGACCAGCUACUGUAUGUA